rnacentral:lncRNA from 1 species
GGAAAAAAAAAUAUUUCAGACGUUAUUUCGAUAUUACAUGAUGUUUAAGGCUGUAUUUGUCAUUUAUUCUGGACAAAAACACCGUAAUAUCGAAAUAACAGUCUUACUUUAUAAUUCUAUCAGUUUCAUUGGGCAGGGGGGAAAAUUACAUUUCAGACGUUAUUUCGAUAUUAUGAUGUUUAAGGCUGCAUUUGUCAUUUAUUCUGGACAAAAACACCGUAAUAUCGAAAUAACAGUCUUACUUUAUA